rnacentral:rRNA from 1 species
GCAGCCUGAUCCAGCCAUGCCGCGUGUGUGAAGAAGGCCUUCGGGUUGUAAAGCACUUUUGUUGUGGGAAGAAACCGGUCGGAUUAAUACUUCGGCUGAAUGACGGUACCCAAAGAAUAAGCACCGGCUAACUUCGUGCCAGCAGCCGCGGUAAUACGAAGGGUGCAAGCGUUACUCGGAAUUACUGGGCGUAAAGCGUGCGUAGGCGGUUUGUUAAGUCUGUCGUGAAAGCCCCGGGCUCAACCUGGGAAUGGCGAUGGAUACUGGCAAGCUAGAGUGUGUCAGAGGAUGGUGGAAUUCCCGGUGUAGCGGUGAAAUGCGUAGAGAUCGGGAGGAACACCAGUGGCGAAGGCGGCCAUCUGGGACAACACUGACGCUGAGGCACGAAAGCGUGGGGAGCAAACAGGAUUAGAUACCCUGGUAGUCCACGCCCUAAACGAUGCGAACUGGACGUUGGGCACACUUAGGUGCUCAGUGUCGAAGCUAACGCGUUAAGUUCGCCGCCUGGGGAGUACGGUCGCAAGACUGAAACUCAU